CCUACGGGAGGCAGCAGUGGGGAAUAUUGCACAAUGGGGGAAACCCUGAUGCAGCCAUGCCGCGUGUGUGAAGAAGGCCUUCGGGUUGUAAAGUACUUUCAGUAGGGAGGAAAGGUUAGUAGUUAAUACCUGCUAGCUGUGACGUUACCUACAGAAGAAGCACCGGCUAACUCCGUGCCAGCAGCCGCGGUAAUAC
rnacentral:rRNA from 1 species